rnacentral:rRNA from 1 species
UACGGAGGGGGCAAGCGUUACUCGGAAUUAUUGGGCGUAAAGCGCGCGUAGGCGGCUUGGCGAGUCAAAGGUGAAAUCCCCCGGCUCAACCGAGGAACUGCCUUUGAAACUGCCUGGCUUGAGGCCGGGAGGGGGUAGCGGAAUUCCCAGUGUAGCGGUGAAAUGCGUAGAUAUUGGGAGGAACACCGGUGGCGAAGGCGGCUACCUGGACCGGUUCUGACGCUGAUGCGCGAAAGCGUGGGGAGCAAACAGG